rnacentral:tRNA from 1 species
GCGGCCGUAGUCUAGCCUGGUAGGACGCGGGCCUGCCACGCCCGUGACCCGGGUUCGAAUCCCGGCGGCCGCACCA